GCGAGUACUUGGUCCAAGUUGGGCAAGUUGGUGUUUUUUAACUUUCUAUGAAAGUCUGAUACGGGUCCCCCUAAACUUCUGUUAGAACGGUGGGAAACAUUGCUCCUGUGAGAACAGUAUAGUGGACUUCAUCGCCACUGACCCACAUUUAUUAGGGUGUGACACGAACUUGUGGACAGAGUACCGAGCUGCUGCUUUGCCAAGUGGAUUUCUGGCUGCGGGCAAAGGACCUGACACAUCAGUGUGUUUUAAUUUGUUUUAAACUGGUGUAAUUUGACA